rnacentral:rRNA from 1 species
GUCUAUGGCCAUGCCACCUUGAACGUGCCUGCACUCGUCUGAUCUCGGAAGCUAAGCAGGGUCGGGGCUGGUUAGUACUUGGAUGGGAGACCACCUUGGAAUACCAGGUGCUGUAGGCA